rnacentral:rRNA from 1 species
AUUGAACGCUGGCGGCAGGCCUAACGCAUGCAAGUCGAACGGUAACUGGAAGAAGCUUGCUUCUUUGCUGACGAGUGGCGGACGGGUGAGUAAUGUCUGGGAAACUGCCUGAUGGAGGGGGAUAACUACUGGAAACGGUAGCUAAUACCGCAUAACGUCGCAAGACCAAAGAGGGGGACCUUCGGGCCUCUUGCCAUCGGAUGUGCCCAGAUGGGAUUAGCUAGUAGGUGGGGUAACGGCUCACCUAGGCGACGAUCCCUAGCUGGUCUGAGAGGAUGACCAGCCACACUGGAACUGAGACACGGUCCAGACUCCUACGGGAGGCAGCAGUGGGGAAUAUUGCACAAUGGGCGCAAGCCUGAUGCAGCCAUGCCGCGUGUAUGAAGAAGGCCUUCGGGUUGUAAAGUACUUUCAGCGGGGAGGAAGGGAGUAAAGUUAAUACCUUUGCUCAUUGACGUUACCCGCAGAAGAAGCACCGGCUAACUCCGUG